rnacentral:misc_RNA from 1 species
CACCUACUGGAAUCGUACUCUGGGGCGCGUAAUCAGAGAGGGGCGUGGCAUGAUUGCAGGAACAUUCAGCUGUGACGAAGGCUGCUAAAUGUGAUUGAGGAUGGAGCUUAAAAUAUUUUAUAAAUGUUAAUGGAAUUUCAAUAUCACUUCUUGAAGUGGGUUCGAGGCAGUGGCGCUGCUGGAGGCGGUGCCAGUGCUGGUGGCGCGAAGAUAGAGUGAUGCCUAUGAGGC